AAAAAUUUAUUUGCUAUAGAUAGGGGGUUCAUAGUAGAAAGAAGGCUAUUCAAGAAUUUAAAAUCAUGCAUUCCUGGACGUUCUUGGUAUUUCUUGGUAUGGCGGGAUUACCGUUCCAUUCCGUGCACGCACAUAGUUUGUUAUACACGUACACAUGUUAUCCAAACAACACGAUUACGAUUUCCGGUAUGCCGACAAAUUACUCAUCCAUGUAUUACUUUGCGAUGCAUGAAGCGGAUGGCAAGAAUUGCUCGGUGACUGCUAUUCUGGCUGCUGGCACAGCGGAAAUUACUGAAUGCGAUAAAGAUCAGUCGAUUCUCUUUACGUUUAGCCCCUACAUCGACAUGGCGAGCAAUCAAAUCCAUGCUGGAGAGGAUGUCGAGAUUGUAAACAUCACAUGUUUUGAGAUUCCUGAUUCCGUGCCGCACUCAGUUUCCAACACAUUGGCAGCCUCCAUCGCUUUGGGGGAAGAGGCUACAAUGAAUGUUUCCUUUGACGUCACAUCUGUUUUGAAUCCGACGUCUGCUAAUGUUGGCGAUCCGGUUACGUGGACAAUUAUCUUCCCGAUGAACUACACACUUCAAAUAACGUCAUGCACGCUUACCCAGGAACCACAUCAUCGUCAUCAAACUCAGUCGGGUUAAUCACCACCUGGUGCUCCGAUGACAGUGACCUCAUCUCCAAUUUCACCACAAAUGCCAACGAUAGCGAGGCAACGGCAAUAAUCCAGGCCUUUAGAUUCUUCGAUUACAACAACGUAUAUCUUUCUUGUGAUCUUCUAAUUUGUCCUUUGCCAAGCAGCAGUUGUACACCAUCAUGCAGUAGUGCUAAACGUAAAAGGAGAAAUACAAGUGGUAACCAAGGCGAAUACAGGAAAAGUGUGGGCAAGGUGUUGCAUAUCAUUGACCCAACGUCUGUUGCUUCUACGCCAUACUCUGGUUUACUCCUGUCGUUUUUACUGACGUAUCUAGUGUCGUUGCUUACAUUUACAUAUGCGUCGGGAACAGAUUGGCAGUGGAACAAUAAAUAGACACUGUAAACUGAAAUAAACAUUGUUGAUAUUUUAUUGAUCUGUUUAUAGCAGAUCAAAGAAAGGAGUAGUGUGUGCUAACUUCCUAAGGUGUUCUUGUUGAUGGAAUGACGAACAUAGCCGUUUUUAUCUGGAAUGUAAGUCUAUUGACUAUGUCUUAUAUAUAACCUUGUUAUCUGUUAUUUGUUGAUGAAUACAAAAUAAAAUGUUAUGUAUAUAUUAA